ensembl:lncRNA
AUGUUAGAGCGGGAGUCUGACCUGAAAUCACGGAGAAAUGAACAACAUCAACAAUCAGGAUUACAGCUUUCUGUGACGUUUUCCUCAGGUACAGCAGUGAGCAGUGACCUACAGUCUACACAGCCCAGUGAAGUUAAACAUAUUAUAUAUUACAUAAUAUUAACAACAUUAGUCAAGCAGUUGUUUCUAGUGAAGAAACAGCCAGUAAAUGUACCAAAGUAAUCAGAGUAAUAGUAUAAUGAUUACUGUAACCUCCCAUCUGUUAUAUUCUUUAUACACAUUAGUUUACUGAGACCAUGGAAACAGAAACCUGGAAUACUUUAUCCUGUACAACAUGUCAACAUAACUGAAGGAAUCACUCAUCUAAUAAAGUAACUUGUUUAUGUGGUUUAAAAACUGCCAAGUAACCAACUGUUAACGGUACUGUAUCCAUAUUUCAUAGUCUGAUAUUUUAACUUAAAAGUAUUAUUACCAAAGUUCACCUUCAGGUAUUUGUAAAAGCUGCAAUUAUGUUUGAACCCCAUUAAAAAUACUGUAUACUGAAUAUUCUAUCAUUUAUAUUAUAUACUGUGAUGUAAUUUAUCUUCCAACAUAAUAAAGUUUGAAUGUGAGACAGUAAUGUAUUGUGUUGCUUACAGUCAUUAAUACAGGUUUAAAUUCCACAUUUUCAUAUUGAUAGAUGUUGUCUCUCCACAGACAGUUGGUACAAUCCCUCUUUCAGGAACAGUCUUUCAGUCAGUCCACUGUUGUACUGACCGAGGUUGUGAAAACAGUCCCACAUGAAGGUUCACACACACCUUCCCGUUUUUGUGACUCUAGCCGGACAUUGCCGUAAAAAAAAAUUUACAUACAUUUACAUAUGUAAAUUAGUGUUGGGCUGUGCAGCCAAUGACUGAACAGUUUGUCUGCUGAGGCCUUUGCCCAGACAUUAGGCUGCAGGCUGCUGGCUGGACUUGCUUGUUCUCAGCUAGCUUGCCUUUUAUAGUAACAAUGGCGGAGCUCCGAUAGUCAACAGGAAGUAAAGAGAGGUGGGUGGCAACAGGAACCAAAUAACAACUUAAAGGACCCUAAGUUGAAAGUUAUUUAACGUUAGAACUCGAUUUAACGCAAACCAAAGAGAGGUAAAAAUAGGAGGAAUAACACGUCUCUUGAGAGCUGGACAUUAUUAAUGUGAAAUAUUUCAAAGAAACUGAGCGUAUGUUCUUUUUCUUUUCGUGUAUGAUGUGUGUGAUUUGGUGCCAACUGUGUAUGUCCACUACUAACUCUUCUAUAUAAAUAAGCCGGCAGUUCAAACUUACUUCUCGGUCUGUGGUCUGUUAUUACUGAGGUCUAGUUACAAACUGCUCCUCCAAACCUAGACUCUGGUCCCAGCAAUCAGUUAUAUUUACUGUAUUGCACUGUCUUAAUAAAACCCUUUUAGUCUCACAGUAAAGCAGUUCAGUGUCUUUAUACCACGGACACCAAGAAUUCUGCAUUAUGAAUAUCUGCCAUUAAUUCCUGUUAAUGAAGAUUAUAACCAGACUCCUCUGAUGCAGCUGUUUAUUCUAAAUUAAUCCAUCAGACACAAACUAUUUUACCUGGUUGGUUUGUAAUCAUUUUGAGGUUUGAACUGUUGGUUGGACUAAACAAACAUUGUAAAGGUUUCAUUUUGCACUUUGGUAAUUGUGAUAUUUCUCGUUAUUUUCAGAAUUUUUACCAAACAUUUAAUUAAUUGAUUAUGAGAAAAUAAUCAUUAGUUACAGUCUGAACAUCCUGCUGUUCUAUUAAUAAAUGAGUCAGAAUCAUUCUAGUUGUUAUAGAUAUUGUUCUCUGUGUAGACGACUCUUUAGUAGCAGUUCACUUACUCUUUAUCUGAGGGUUCAUUACUGAAGAGUGGAGGUUCCUCUUUAGAGUCUGAACUGUCCUCCUCUUGCUCCUCACAAUCAGUCCUCUUCUGAUCUGAAGUCAGUCUGAGAGGUAAAACAGUAACACUGACUGUGAGCUCAGAGCACAAGAAUCAGGACAUAAGUUUGUUCAAGAGCCACAAACACACACACACACACACACACACAUUUACAGUAUGGGUACAUUAGAAGCUGAUUAAUAAAGCAGUAAUAGUAAAACUAACACAGUCAUUCAGUCGAGCAUGGUCGGUUGGUUAAACAGUUUCUAUACACAGACAUCUACUGUAUGCAUGUACUCUUUCUUCAACAUACACAUUUGAACCAAAAUCAUUAAUUUACUGAAUUAUACUGAAAACCAUUUACAUAACUGAAAGUUAUCCUGAAAACUACUGACAAGCUUUCACACGUUUGGUUUGGUACAAAAAGUACAUUAUCUGUGUCUUCAGUUGAGUAACAGUUACUAUUGAAAGGAAUAGUAAUUUUAUAUGAAGCCAUACAGUAUGGUGUAUGAGAGGAUGUCAGUGGAACUGGAAGGUGGUUGAGAAAAGAGAAGUUAUUAUGAAUCUCACUGCUUUCUUUGGUAAGAUACGUCCUGUGUAGCAUUCAAAUGCUCCGAUUGGCCAGGCGCCCAUUCUAAUGCAAAAGAUACUUCUGACAGAAAACCUUUAGGAAGUCAGGUUGUUGAACUAUAAACAGUCAAAGUGAAUGUUUAGGAAGGAGGUUGUGAAGAAUGAAUGAGUUCAAAGUCAGUAUCAUAUCUGUCCUUAUGAUCCUUACUGCCUGAAGUCAAACAGCAGACGUUCAGUAACAAUGUGUGAAUAUUACUGAGCCCUUUAUGGAUGAGUUAAAUAUGCUACAGUAAUCUUAUAUGUUACUGUUUAUAACACAGGGAGUUUAUUCAUUGUUAGACGAACCUCUUCAGAAAGAAACCUGGGUAAUAAAUUAAGAGUAUACCCCUUUCUCCAGACACCAGUCCACCACUGAUUAUCCCUUAUAUGAUACUGUGGUAGAAAUGUUACUCACGUUGCCAUGGUAACAGCUUCACAGCAGCUUCAGGAUGGAGCAGUUUAUUAGUUCUCUGGAAGAAAGAAAAACCAGUCAGUAACCUCUCCUCCUGUCAACUGUAAUGUAGUUAUUAGUAGAUAUUAUUAGAUACUGUAUCGUACUGUCAGUGACACAGAGAAAAUAAAGUCUAACACAGUGGGUUUAAGUGGUGGGGGGUCAGGGGUCACAGCUCUGUGCUAAGCUAGCUCAGUAGCAUUAUGAGAUCAAUGUAAUUGAAUGUAAACAGGUACUUGAAUCAUUUUGGUCACAUCACCACCUGAACUGAGUUCGGACAGAGACAGAUAUACAGGAUACUGAGAAUUACAGCUAUGAAAUCAAUAACAAGG